UACGUAGGUGGCAAGCGUUAUCCGGAUUCACUGGGCGUAAAGCGCGUGCAGGCGGUUCCGUAAGUCGGACGUGAAAGCUCCUGGCUUAACUGGGAGAGGCCGUUCGAUACUGCGGGACUUGAGGUCGGGAGAGGGACGUGGAAUUCUCGGUGUAGUGGUGGAAUGCGUAGAUAUCGGGAGGAACACCAGUGGCGAAGGCGGCGUCCUGGCCCGUACCUGACGCUGAGACGCGAAAGCGUGGGUAGCGAACGGGAUUAGAUACCCCCGUA
rnacentral:rRNA from 1 species